rnacentral:rRNA from 1 species
AGAGUUGAUCUGGCUCAGGAUGAACGCUGGCGGCGUGCCUAACACAUGCAAGUCGAGCGAGAAAUCGCUCAAUGAUCUUCGGGUGAUUGAGCGAUGGAAAGCGGCGGACGGGUGAGUAACGCGUAGGUAACCUGCCCCAUACAGAGGGAUAGCCACUGGAAACGGUGAUUAAUACCUCAUAACACCGGAAUAUCGCAUGGUAUACCGGUCAAAGUUUUUCGGUAUGGGAUGGACCUGCGUCUGAUUAGCUGGUUGGUGAGGUAACGGCUCACCAAGGCGACGAUCAGUAGCCGACCUGAGAGGGUGAUCGGCCACAUUGGAACUGAGACACGGUCCAAACUCCUACGGGAGGCAGCAGUGGGGAAUAUUGCACAAUGGGCGCAAGCCUGAAUGCAGCAACGCCGCGUGAACGAAGAAGGCUCUUGGGUCGUAAAGUUCUGUUCUGAGGGAAGAAGAUCUGACGGUACCUCAGGAGAAAGCCCCGGCUAACUACGUGCCAGCAGCCGC